AAUGAACGCUGGCGGCAGGCCUAACACAUGCAAGUCGAACGGAAGCACAGGAAGAGCUUGCUCUUGCGGGUGGCGAGUGGCGGACGGGUGAGGCAUGCAUCGGAUACUACUUUUACGGGGGUGAUAACGUAGGGAAACGUAUGCUAACACAGAAUAUAUCGUACGGGAGGAAGCAGGGGUUCUUGGGACCUUGCGCGAUUGAAAGAGCCGAUGUCGGAUUAGAUAGUUGGCGGGGUAAAGGGGCAGCUAGGCGACGAUGCGUAGCUGGUCUGAGAGGAUGAUCGGCCACCCUGGAACUGAGACACGGUCCAGACUCCUACGGGAGGCAGCAGUCGGGAAUCUUGCGCAAUGGGCGAAAGCCUGAUCCAGCCACACCGCGUGGGUGAUGAAGGUCUUCGGCUCGUAAAGCCCUUUUGUUAGGAAAGAACAACAGCGCGUUUAUCCCCGGCUGUCCUGACGGUACCUAAAGAAUAAGCCCCGGCUAACUUCGUG
rnacentral:rRNA from 1 species